CCCUGGAUAGCGCAGGUGAAGGGGAAAAAAAUAAAAUAUAGGUAUAAAAAAAAAAAAAAAAAAAGCGAGAAGAAAAAAAAUCCCACCCUCCUCCUCAAGCCCGGCAGCCUUCUCGAAGGCUUUCUGUCUCUGUCCUGGCGGGCUGUGCCUCUCCCUAAAGCAGCCCCGCCGCGCAGGAUGGAGGCAGCACUGAAGGGCAAGCUGCUCUCCUCGCUCCCCCUUUAUUCCAGGGCUGGGCGGUUUUGCCUUACAUCUCCCUGCUCCGGGCAUGAAGGUGCUGGAAAGAAAGAAAGUUCUUACCUGCUAUUUUCUAAGCCUAAUACAUCCGAUCCGCGUUUUAAGUGCAUAUAUUUCUAUUUUUAAUUUUUUAAAAUUAUUUUUUUUGUAAGGGUCUGUGAGCAUCUCACUUCCUCCUGUUCAGUCCCAUUGAAUUUUCGAUGCCUUUUUAGGAAUUUUCCUCAAUUUAUUUACUCUGCCAUCCCAGCAGAUGGAGGAGGAAAAAAAAAAAAAAAAAAAAAAAAAGGAAAAACAAACAGCCAGAUAUCUAGGAGAUAGGCUCGGGUGUCGGACCGGAGGAGAGCGAGCUCAGUCCCAGGAGGAUGCUGAAGGCAAGGAGGCGGCUCUCGGGUGCUGUGCCAGGGCAGUGAUGGUGCUCCCAUGCAGGACUCCUCGGCUGCGGGGGAUCCUCUGCUCUCCGUGCUGCGAGGCAUCCAAGUUUUGUUCAGUUAUUCCCGAGUUUGGAAGAUAAAGAGUAGGUAGACCAAGGCAAUGACUCAGAGAUGGAUUAGAAGAACAAACUCGAUUGCUAAGUCUUUGGGGGAAGAAGACUGUAUGUUCCGGGGCUUGUAUAGAAACCAGGAGACCAGUGCCAUAAUUCUGGGUUUUUUAUUCUUUCUGUGGGUGAUGCAUCUUUCUCAGCAAGAGCAAUACUGAUAUAAACCAGCUACUGGAGUAUCACCUAGUGUGAUGUCUAAACCAAGCCGGGACUAAAAAUGCAGUGCCGAAAAUGCUAGCAGCCUCUCUCUAUUAGCAUUCUCCAGCUUCUUACUGUGGAAGAAGAUGUGAUCACUGGAAAUUUUGCCAAAAAGUUUCAGAUACAGUUACACAGAGACUGUUUCAGGCACUACUAGGCAAAGCCAACCAUGGAGUGGAGUGUGAUUAACCGGCUGGCACUCUGCACCUUACAGCAGGAGGAAACUGUGGAGGAAGGAGAAAGAAGAAGAGAAUUACUCAAUCUGAAAUAUCUGGCAGAACACAACAUUAAUCCCUCCCCAGGGUAAAAUAUCAUCCAAAUUUCACUUUUGCAUCUGAUGUGGAAGAGUGUGAGCAGCAUGGGGUCCUCCUGCCGCUUCAUGACAUUGAAGGGUUUGCUAGCUAAAGACCAAAGCAGAGAAACAAGUGUCACUUCUCAUUGCAAAUAUUACUUCCUUCACUAGUCUGUGGUUUUCAGGUCCUUAAUCUAAUUGGUCUUUCUUCACAGCUGAAAUCUGCUCAAAGUUGUCCCAGAUUUGUGCCGCUGAAGCCUUAAUAUAAGGUGCCCAUGUUUUUAAACUAAAACACCAUGGACAGGGUCACAGAAUGGUCCUAAAAAAGUGCCCUUUCAGAAACUGUCGGUUCUGCUAGAUUUUGACUCAGUAAUGUGUAUGUGCUGUUUUAAUGUCCUGAAUAAAGCUAUCAUCAACACACUGAAUCAAUACUGUUAACAUCAACUUUGAGCAACAGAAGAGUAUAAAUAGUGUGUGCCCUCAUGUGACUUUCCCCUGCUCACCAAAUGCAGCUCAUCUCUUGCACACUUGUUAUGCUGGUCUCCUUGUUCCUGUUAAAAUACUGAAUAAAUUUUACUCAGUAUAACCCCCAUUCCAAACAAUAACAACAAAAGAUCAUUAAUUAAAAAGAAAAAAAGAAAAAAAAGAAACACAAACAAUGCAAUUGAUUAAAUAAAAAAAUAUUCUCA